rnacentral:piRNA from 1 species
UGUUUCGAGGUCUAAUUUGAAAUGAUGUGU